rnacentral:rRNA from 1 species
UAAGCGCAGGAAAGAAACUAACCAGGAUUCCCCUAGUAACUGCGAGUGAAGCGGGAAAAGCUCAAAUUUAAAAUCUGGCGGUCUUAUGGCUGUCCGAGUUGUAAUCUAGAGAAGUGCUUUCCGCGUUGGACCGUGUACAAGUCUCUUGGAACAGAGCGUCAUAGAGGGUGAGAAUCCCGUCUUUGACACGGACUACCAAUGCUUUUGUGAUGUGCUCUCAAAGAGUCGAGUUGUUUGGGAAUGCAGCUCAAAAUGGGUGGUAAAUUCCAUCUAAAGCUAAAUAUUGGCGAGAGACCGAUAGCGAACAAGUACCGUGAGGGAAAGAUGAAAAGAACUUUGGAAAGAGAGUUAAACAGUACGUGAAAUUGUUGAAAGGGAAACGCUUGAAGUCAGUCGCGUUGGCCAGGAAUCAACCCUUCUUUUUUGUAGGGUGUACUUCCUGGUUUUACGGGUCAGCAUCAAUUUUGAUUGUUGGAUAAAAGCCAAUAUUUUUGCAUCUUCGGGUGUAUAGCCUUUGGUUACAUACAACAGUUGGGAUUGAGGAACUCAGCACACCGCAAGGUCGGAUCAUUUUGAUCACGUACGUGCUUAGGAUGCUGGCAUAAUGGCUUUAAUCGACCCGUCUUGA